AGCGAACGCUGGCGGCAGGCCUAACACAUGCAAGUCGAACGAACCUUUCGGGGUUAGUGGCGGACGGGUGAGUAACACGUGGGAACGUGCCUUUAGGUUCGGAAUAACUCAGGGAAACUUGUGCUAAUACCGAAUGUGCCCUUCGGGGGAAAGAUUUAUCGCCUUUAGAGCGGCCCGCGUCUGAUUAGCUAGUUGGUUGAGGUAAUGGCUCACCAAGGCGACGAUCAGUAGCUGGUCUGAGAGGAUGAUCAGCCACAUUGGGACUGAGACACCGCCCAAACUCCUACGGGAGGCAGCAGUGGGGAAUCUUGCGCAAUGGGCGAAAGCCUGACGCAGCCAUGCCGCGUGAAUGAUGAAGGUCUUAGGAUUGUAAAAUUCUUUCACCGGGGACGAUAAUGACGGUACCCGGAGAAGAAGCCCCGGCUAACUUCGUG
rnacentral:rRNA from 1 species